rnacentral:lncRNA from 1 species
AGGUUCCAGCCUGCACCAGAGUAAUACAAUGCUGCGGUGUUAAGGAGUGGUCAUACAGAUUGAACGCAAUCAUACAUGAUAAUUCAUCAAACAACAUAUCUACAUAUUAUAGUGGAACUGUCGUGCACGAUACCAUAACCGUCAUAACGAUACCAUAAUCGUCAUAACGAUAUAAAGGGAAGUAAUCUGGAUAUACAAUACAAACUACUGAAGCUGUUGGACUAUUUAUUUG